CAGUAAGCCAUUUUCCUUUGCAGUUAGCGUAGACCAUACUAAAUUAUUAAGGCUCUUGUGUAGGCAGUAAGAAAGCGUUGUGAAGCUCUGUUGUGUAUCCCCUUUCCUUCGGCUAUUCUAGUCUUCUUUCGAUGCCACCUUGUCUGUGGAGCUUUCGGUCCUCUUCCUCCUCUCCCUUCCAGUCCUCGGUUUCCUAUAGAAUCCGUCGCGAAGCUGCUGUGCUUUGAUCAUCGCUGCCAAACCCAGCAGGAUAGGUAGCUUGGGCUUCAACCGACUAACAACCGUCGCGAGGAUGAUUAUUAAGGCCCGAAUGCUCGUCUUCAACAUUGUUUCCAGCAUUGAUGCAUUCCAGACAAGAGGGUUGACAUUUUCUACACGUAGCGAUUCCGAAUGGAUGUUCCUGUAAUUAUACAAUUGGAGAUGGAAGAACAAUUCUUCCGGCGUACUCCUCCGGAACGCCGCAACGGUAGAGACUCCAAAUGGUUUCUACCUCAUGAUUUCCUUGUGCUACAGAGUUUGAGAGCGCCUCUUGUAUCUUCAGACAAGACGAUGAGGUAUGAUCCAUUUCCAAUUUCAGGAUAUCAUGCUCACCAUGGUAUUAGACCGUUUUUUUGGGACAGUGACCAUCUGUAUGGUCGCUGAUUGGUAAGCAUCAUGUGGCAGGUAGCAGACAGCAGGUAAUCCAUGAUGACCGUAUUUCUCUACUAUCGUAUUACGACUGCCAAGUCCAAUGUAAAGGAUUUUUACGCUCUAUGAACAUUCAUUUAUUUUUAUUGACAGCUGCUUCAAUUUUUAAGCCUAGCGACCAGUAGCAAAAAUAAAAUACAAGUUCGAGUUGAUGUAGUCGAACCUUGUCGGGUUGUAUUCCACAGGGACUACGCCCGUUAGAACUCCUGCAGGAACAUUGUUCGCAUGAAAUGAUGUGGAUAUCAACAAUAAUGCUGCAGAAUAUUUUAUAUUUCUUUGUCACUGCCAAAACAAUUGCAUUAUUCAUUACAGGCAA